AAGGCCUUAGCUUAAUUAAAGUGUCUGCUUUGCAUGUAGGAGAUGUGGAAUAAAGGUCCGCAGGUCUUA
rnacentral:tRNA from 1 species